CUGGCAGGUCUCUCUUCAUGUGGCUGACCUGAUUCUACUAUGGGAGUGUGGACCCGUGGACCCCAGCAGGGAGCAGGUGGGACCCUGCGUUCCAAGGCCAAGUCCGGAGCCGUCUAUGUCUCCACCCCCACGGCCACCUGGCAGAGUGAGUUGGGCUCCCAUGGCAUCCUUGCACCCAUCACCUGAUUUCUGCAAGUCUGUCUCCCCUGCCAGUCAGCAAGCCGUGGGAAGGAGGCAGCCACCACGUCUCCUUGAAGGCACAGUGCCCAGUACUGCCGCACUUGUCCUCUCUGAGCUCAGACUUGCUGUACAGGAGCCAAGGCCCAGACCUCCACAGAGGAGUUCCUUGGAGGCAGCAGGAGUUAAUCUGCAGGAGUUAAUCUGCAGGAGGCAGCCCUCAGGCAACGUCACACCUCCUGAAGACAGCCAGGAGGACUCCGGCUUUUGCUGA
rnacentral:lncRNA from 1 species